rnacentral:ribozyme from 1 species
AAGGGGAAAGAGAAGGAGUAAAACAAAAAGAAAAAGGAACGAACAACAGGAACAACAGGAAUGAAAAUAAAACUUUAAAAAUCACGGCGUUGAACACAACGAUGUUGAGGGGGAUCUGAAAGAAGAGAAGAGAA